AUGACCAUUUCCCCGUUAUAUAGUACUUCUCCUCUGCUUUGCUCCUCAAUGUACCCUCAUCUUCGAUUUCUUCCCUUCAACUCUCUGAUGUUGCUUUCCUUCCUCAUGCAGGCACACCCCGAUGCUCCUCGAUCAGGGCACCCGAUGUCAAGCAGGUUUUUGGUCUAUCUGUGCACCAUCUUUGGGGUCCAGGCGUACGCCUCCAUGCUUGCCGGCGGCGCCCUUUCCUUCAACCUCGUCUUCCCCUCCAGCGAGCCGGACAUUUGGAGGCUCAUGGGGAUGUGGUUCAUCUGGAUGUUCACUAUACCUUCUCUGCGAGCCCGUGACUGCUCAAACAAAAAUAAAGAGGCUCUCAACUAUUUGUUUAUCCUAGUCCCUUUGAUCAACGCAGUUUUACUCAAACUCUAUCCUUUGUGGUUAUUACUGUUACAUGUUACAUGUAGAGAUGCUUCAUGA
rnacentral:rRNA from 1 species